rnacentral:tRNA from 1 species
CCUUGUAGCUUUAGGCUUAAAGCAUGGCACUGAAGAUGCCAAGACGGGCACACCCCCAAGGAC